rnacentral:rRNA from 1 species
GACGAACGCUGGCGGCGUGCCUAACACAUGCAAGUCGAACGGAACUGUUUUGAAAGAUUUCUUCGGAAUGAAUUUGAUUUAGUUUAGUGGCGGACGGGUGAGUAACGCGUGAGUAACCUGCCUUCAAGAGGGGGAUAACAUUCUGAAAAGAAUGCUAAUACCGCAUGACAUAUCGGAACCACAUGGUUCUGAUAUCAAAGAUUUUAUCGCUUGAAGAUGGACUCGCGUCCGAUUAGUUAGUUGGUGAGGUAACGGCUCACCAAGACCGCGAUCGGUAGCCGGACUGAGAGGUUGAACGGCCACAUUGGGACUGAGACACGGCCUAGACUCCUACGGGAGGCAGCAGUGGGGGAUAUUGCGCAAUGGGGGCAACCCUGACGCAGCAACGCCGCGUGAAGGAUGAAGGUUUUCGGAUUGUAAACUUCUUUUAUUAAGGACGAAACUUGACGGUACUUAAUGAAUAAGCUCCGGC